rnacentral:rRNA from 1 species
UGUGACCUCAAAUCAGGUAGGACUACCCGCUGAACUUAAGCAUAUCAAUAAGCGGAGGAAAAGAAACUAACAAGGAUUCCCCUAGUAACUGCGAGUGAAGCGGGAAAAGCUCAAAUUUAAAAUCUGUCAGUCUUUUUGGCUGUCCGAGUUGUAAUCUAGAGAAGUGUUAUCCGCGCUGGACCGUGUACAAGUCUCCUGGAAUGGAGCGUCGUAGAGGGUGAGAAUCCCGUCUUUGACACGGACUGCCAGGGCUUUGUGAUGCGCUCUCAAAGAGUCGAGUUGUUUGGGAAUGCAGCUCAAAAUGGGUGGUAAAUUCCAUCUAAAGCUAAAUAUUGGCGAGAGACCGAUAGCGAACAAGUACCGUGAGGGAAAGAUGAAAAGAACUUUGGAAAGAGAGUUAAACAGUACGUGAAAUUGCUGAAAGGGAAACGCUUGAAGUCAGUCGCGUUGACCAGGGAUCAACCCUUGCUUUUGCUGGGUGUACUUUCUGGUUGACGGGUCAGCAUCAAUUUUGACCAUUGGAAAAAGAUUAGGGGAAUGUGGCAUCUUCGGAUGUGUUAUAGCCUCUGGUUGCAUACAAUGGUUGAGAUUGAGGAACUCAGCACGCCGCAAGGCCGGGUUUUUAACCACGUACGUGCUUAGGAUGUUGGCAUAAUGGCUUUAAUCGACCCGUCUUGAAACACGGACCAAGGAGUCUAACAUACCUGCGAGUGUUUGGGUGGAAAACCCGAGCGCGUAAUGAAAGUGAAAGUUGAGAUCCCUGUCGUGGGGAGCAUCGACGCCCGGACCAGACCUUUUGUGACGGUUCCGCGGUAGAGCAUGUAUGUUGGGACCCGAAAGAUGGUGAACUAUGCCUGAAUAGGGUGAAGCCAGAGGAAACUCUGGUGGAGGCUCGUAGCGAUUCUGACGUGCAAAUCGAUCGUCAAAUUUGGGUAUAGGGGCG